GAGAGUGGGUAUCCGCACGAGCGCACCUCACUUUUAGUUGCCAUCAUUAAGUUGGGCACUCUGAAAGAACUGCCAGUGAUAAGCUGGAGGAAGGUGGGGAUGACGUCAAGUCCUCAUGGCCCUUACGUGUUGGGCUACACACGUGCUACAAUGGCAUCUACAACAGGAAGCAAAACGGCAACGUUAAGCAAAUCCCGAAAAGAUGCCUCAGUUCGGAUUGCACUCUGCAACUCGAGUGCAUGAAGCUGGAAUUACUAGUAAUCGUGGAUCAGCGUGCCACGGUGAAUGCGUUCCCGGGUCUUGUACACACCGCCCGUCACACCAUGGGAGUUGGUUCUACCUUAAGGCAAGGUUUUAAACCCUUGACCACGGUAUAGUCAGCGACUGGGGUGAAGUCGUAACAAGGUAGCCGUAGGGGAACCUGCGGCUGGAUUACCUCCUUUCU
rnacentral:rRNA from 1 species